rnacentral:lncRNA from 1 species
CGAGAAACAGAAGACAUUAAAGUCAACAGUAUAUCCUUUAAAUAUGUACUGUAUUAACCAUUUCUCUCAGAGCCCAGAUGAGUACUUUAUAUAGGAACUUGGCUGCAAACAGAAGCCUGUUCGUUUGGUGGUGGACUGAACGUUUAAAGCUAAAUGUUUUAUCUCAGAUUUGUGGCAAGCAUCAAAGACUCUCAGCAAAUCUCCUCUGACAGUAAGUUUGAGGCAUCAUGGUGUGCACCAUAUGGAUCUAAAACUGAACAGAAUUGCUCCCAGCUAUUGCAAAAUGUUCACUUCGUUUACCAUUGUCAAACUUAUGAUUGAAUAAUUCCAAUUUUCUCUGAAAAAUCCAGGAAAAGUGUGGAGAACUUUAAGGUAAGAAUAACAGCAUCAAAAAUAAAGGACAAAUAGCAGCUUCUCA